rnacentral:rRNA from 1 species
AACGAACGCUGGCGGCAGGCUUAACACAUGCAAGUCGAGCGCCCCGCAAGGGGAGCGGCAGACGGGUGAGUAACGCGUGGGAACGUGCCCUUUGCUACGGAAUAGCUCCGGGAAACUGGAAUUAAUACCGUAUGAGCCCUACGGGGGAAAGAUUUAUCGGCAAAGGAUCGGCCCGCGUUGGAUUAGCUAAUUGGUGGGGUAAAGGCCUACCAAGGCGACGAUCCAUAGCUGGUCUGAGAGGAUGAUCAGCCACAUUGGGACUGAGACACGGCCCAAACUCCUACGGGAGGCAGCAGUGGGGAAUAUUGGACAAUGGGCGCAAGCCUGAUCCAGCCAUGCCGCGUGAGUGAUGAAGGCCUUAGGGUUGUAAAGCUCUUUCACCGGAGAAGAUAAUGACGGUAUCCGGAGAAGAAGCCCCGGCUAACUUCGUGCCAGCCGCCGCCGUAACAC